rnacentral:rRNA from 1 species
GGGUUGUGAGGUUAAGCGACUAAGCGUACACGGUGGAUGCCCUGGCAGUCAGAGGCGAUGAAGGACGUGCUAAUCUGCGAAAAGCGUCGGUAAGGUGAUAUGAACCGUUAUAACCGGCGAUGUCCGAAUGGGGAAACCCAGUGUGAUUCGUCACACUAUCGUUAACUGAAUACAUAGGUUAACGAGGCGAACCGGGGGAACUGAAACAUCUAAGUACCCCGAGGAAAAGAAAUCAACCGAGAUUCCCCCAGUAGCGGCGAGCGAACGGGGAGCAGCCCAGAGUCUGAAUCAGCUUGUGUGUUAGUGGAACGGUCUGGAAAGUCCGACGGUACAGGGUGAUAGUCCCGUACACCAAAAUGCACAGGCUGUGAACUCGAAGAGUAGGGCGGGACACGUGGUAUCCUGUCUGAAUAUGGGGGGACCAUCCUCCAAGGCUAAAUACUCCUGACUGACCGAUAGUGAACCAGUACCGUGAGGGAAAGGCGAAAAGAACCCCGGCGAGGGGAGUGAAAAAGAACCUGAAACCGUGUACGUACAAGCAGUGGGAGCACCUUCGGGUGUGACUGCGUACCUUUUGUAUAAUGGGUCAGCGACUUAUAUUCUGUAGCAAGGUUAACCGUAUAGGGGAGCCGCAGGGAAACCGAGUCUUAACUGGGCGUUAAGUUGCAGGGUAUAGACCCGAAACCCGGUGAUCUAGCCAUGGGCAGGUUGAAGGUUGGGUAACACUAACUGGAGGACCGAACCGACUAAUGUUGAAAAAUUAGCGGAUGACUUGUGGCUGGGGGUGAAAGGCCAAUCAAACCGGGAGAUAGCUGGUUCUCCCCGAAAGCUAUUUAGGUAGCGCCUCGUGAAUUCAUCUUCGGGGGUAGAGCACUGUUUCGGCUAGGGGGUCAUCCCGACUUACCAACCCGAUGCAAACUACGAAUACCGAAGAAUGUUAUCACGGGAGACACACGGCGGGUGCUAACGUCCGUCGUGAAGAGGGAAACAACCCAGACCGCCAGCUAAGGUCCCAAAGUCAUGGUUAAGUGGGAAACGAUGUGGGAAGGCACAGACAGCCAGGAUGUUGGCUUAGAAGCAGCCAUCAUUUAAAGAAAGCGUAAUAGCUCACUGGUCGAGUCGGCCUGCGCGGAAGAUGUAACGGGGCUAAACCAUGCACCGAAGCUGCGGCAGCGACACUAUGUGUUGUUGGGUAGGGGAGCGUUCUGUAAGCCUGCGAAGGUGUGCUGUGAGGCAUGCUGGAGGUAUCAGAAGUGCGAAUGCUGACAUAAGUAACGAUAAAGCGGGUGAAAAGCCCGCUCGCCGGAAGACCAAGGGUUCCUGUCCAACGUUAAUCGGGGCAGGGUGAGUCGACCCCUAAGGCGAGGCCGAAAGGCGUAGUCGAUGGGAAACAGGUUAAUAUUCCUGUACUUGGUGUUACUGCGAAGGGGGGACGGAGAAGGCUAUGUUAGCCGGGCGACGGUUGUCCCGGUUUAAGCAUGUAGGCUGGUUGUCCAGGCAAAUCCGGAUAAUCAAGGCUGAGGUGUGAUGACGAGGCACUACGGUGCUGAAGUAACAAAUGCCCUGCUUCCAGGAAAAGCCUCUAAGCAUCAGGUAACAUCAAAUCGUACCCCAAACCGACACAGGUGGUCAGGUAGAGAAUACCAAGGCGCUUGAGAGAACUCGGGUGAAGGAACUAGGCAAAAUGGUGCCGUAACUUCGGGAGAAGGCACGCUGGUGUGUAGGUGAAGCCCCUGCGGGUGGAGCUGAGACCAGUCGAAGAUACCAGCUGGCUGCAACUGUUUAUUAAAAACACAGCACUGUGCAAACACGAAAGUGGACGUAUACGGUGUGACGCCUGCCCGGUGCCGGAAGGUUAAUUGAUGGGGUUAUCCGUAAGGAGAAGCUCUUGAUCGAAGCCCCGGUAAACGGCGGCCGUAACUAUAACGGUCCUAAGGUAGCGAAAUUCCUUGUCGGGUAAGUUCCGACCUGCACGAAUGGCGUAAUGAUGGCCAGGCUGUCUCCACCCGAGACUCAGUGAAAUUGAACUCGCUGUGAAGAUGCAGUGUACCCGCGGCAAGACGGAAAGACCCCGUGAACCUUUACUAUAGCUUGACACUGAACAUUGAGCCUUGAUGUGUAGGAUAGGUGGGAGGCUUUGAAGCGUGGACGCCAGUCUGCGUGGAGCCAACCUUGAAAUACCACCCUUUAAUGUUUGAUGUUCUAACGUUGGCCCCUGACCGGGGUUGCGGACAGUGUCUGGUGGGUAGUUUGACUGGGGCGGUCUCCUCCCAAAGCGUAACGGAGGAGCACGAAGGUUAGCUAAUCCUGGUCGGACAUCAGGAGGUUAGUGCAAUGGCAUAAGCUAGCUUGACUGCGAGCGUGACGGCGCGAGCAGGUGCGAAAGCAGGUCAUAGUGAUCCGGUGGUUCUGAAUGGAAGGGCCAUCGCUCAACGGAUAAAAGGUACUCCGGGGAUAACAGGCUGAUACCGCCCAAGAGUUCAUAUCGACGGCGGUGUUUGGCACCUCGAUGUCGGCUCAUCACAUCCUGGGGCUGAAGUAGGUCCCAAGGGUAUGGCUGUUCGCCAUUUAAAGUGGUACGCGAGCUGGGUUUAGAACGUCGUGAGACAGUUCGGUCCCUAUCUGCCGUGGGCGCUGGAGAAUUGAGGGGGGCUGCUCCUAGUACGAGAGGACCGGAGUGGACGCAUCACUGGUGUUCGGGUUGUCAUGCCAAUGGCACUGCCCGGUAGCUAAAUGCGGAAGAGAUAAGUGCUGAAAGCAUCUAAGCACGAAACUUGCCCCGAGAUGAGUUCUCCCUGAGACUUUAAGUCUCCUGAAGGAACGUUGAAGACGACGACGUUGAUAGGCCGGGUGUGUAAGCGCAGCGAUGCGUUGAGCUAACCGGUACUAAUGAACCGUGAGGCUUAACCUUACAACGCCGAAG